GUGGGUAUAGCUCAGUUGGUUAGAGUGCCAGGUUGUGGCCCUGGAGGUCAUGGGUUCGAACCCCAUUACCCACC
rnacentral:tRNA from 1 species